AUGUAUAUAAAGAUGGCCACGUUAGCAAACGGACAACCAGACAAUACCAGCCUGAGUAGCAAUCACAGCAACCCCAGCACCAACGGGCAUAUGAACGGAUUAAACCAUAGUCCCGGAAACCCAUCCACCAUCCCAAUGAAGGACCACGAUGCCAUUAAGCUCUUUAUUGGGCAAAUCCCCCGUAACCUGGACGAGAAAGACCUCAAACCGCUCUUCGAGGAGUUCGGGAAGAUCUAUGAACUGACAGUGCUGAAGGACAGGUUCACUGGCAUGCACAAAGGCUGUGCCUUCCUAACGUACUGCGAAAGGGAAUCUGCUCUAAAGGCCCAGAGUGCCCUGCAUGAACAGAAGACUCUGCCGGGGAUGAACAGACCGAUCCAGGUGAAACCAGCGGACAGCGAAAGCCGAGGAGAAGAUAGAAAACUCUUUGUGGGCAUGCUCAAUAAGCAGCAGUCAGAAGAUGAUGUGCGCAGGCUAUUUGAGGCAUUUGGCAACAUCGAGGAGUGCACAAUCCUUCGGGGACCCGAUGGCAACAGCAAAGGGUGUGCAUUUGUGAAAUACUCUUCACAUGCAGAGGCCCAAGCAGCCAUCAAUGCCUUGCAUGGCAGCCAGACAAUGCCGGGAGCCUCUUCCAGCCUGGUGGUGAAGUUUGCAGAUACGGACAAGGAGCGUACAAUGAGACGCAUGCAGCAAAUGGCAGGACAAAUGGGCAUGUUCAACCCCAUGGCGAUCCAGUUUGGAGCAUAUGGUGCCUAUGCACAGGCACUGAUGCAGCAGCAAGCCGCGAUCAUGGCGUCAGUGGCGCAGGGCGGCUACCUGAACCCCAUGGCAGCCUUUGCUGCAGCCCAGAUGCAGCAAAUGGCAGCCCUGAACAUGAACGGGCUGGCUGCUGCUCCCAUGACACCAACCUCAGGAGAGUGGGUUCCUUGGGACAUGGCCAUGAGUUCAUUCAGGCUCACGAGUUCCCAUGGUGGAAGCACGCCUCCUGGCAUAACUGCACCAGCUGUGCCUAGCAUCCCAUCUCCAAUUGGGGUGAAUGGUUUCACUGGCCUCCCGCCGCAGGCUAAUGGGCAGCCCGCCGCCGAAGCCGUGUUUGCUAAUGGCAUUCACCCUUACCCAGCACAAAGCCCCACUGCAGCAGACCCCUUGCAGCAAGCCUACGCUGGAGUGCAGCAGUACGCAGGUCCUGCUUAUCCUGCUGCUUAUGGCCAGAUUAGCCAAGCCUUCCCACAGCCACCUCCCAUGAUCCCACAGCAACAGAGAGAAGGACCAGAGGGCUGUAACCUGUUUAUCUACCAUCUGCCCCAGGAGUUUGGGGAUGCUGAGCUGAUGCAGAUGUUCCUGCCUUUCGGUAAUGUCAUCUCCUCGAAAGUGUUUGUGGAUCGGGCGACAAACCAAAGUAAAUGCUUUGGUUUUGUGAGUUUUGACAAUCCUGCCAGUGCCCAAGCUGCUAUCCAGGCUAUGAAUGGCUUCCAAAUUGGCAUGAAGAGGCUGAAGGUGCAGCUGAAGAGGCCAAAGGAUGCUAACCGUCCCUACUGAAGAGUUGCAGGAACCACUGGAUACAAAGCACUAGCACAGAGCCAGUCAAAUCCACCACAGUCUCGCGCUGAGCUAGGAAAAAAGUUCACGUAAUGACAUGAAAGUGGAGAAUACAGUCCCCCAGGCCGGCAGCAGCUGAAUGGGCUACAUUUAGCAAAAAAAAAAAAGUAUAUAUAUGUUAAAAAAAACAGGAACUGUUGGAUUACACCUUUGACAUAUCAGCAAAUAUCAAUCAAGCUGAAGACUUCAGAAUUAUUCUCUCUUUGAUUGUUUAGACUGUAACAUUUCUUCAAGGAAAGUAUCACAUCUGCUGACUUCGAAGGACAUGCGCUUGAAAACAAACAAACAAACAAACACAUAAGUAAAAUCAGAACAGGAACAAGAUCAACCAGGAUUUCUGAAGAGACACUGAUAUCACCACAGCGGCUUUCUUCAAACAGGAGAUGCAAACCUGGAUACUGGCAAAGGAGUGCCUGUUUGCCACCAAGGAUGCGGUUAUCAUGUGUGACCCAUGGUAACAGUCACUGAGCAUCUUUAUCUGUCAUUCCUUAGCUAUAUGGGGACCAAAGGACAAAACUUUUUACCGCAGACUUGUAGCUGUAUGUAAAAUAUGGAAGUUCUUUCCUUUUCUCUGAGCUGUUCCUAAAACAGUUUUUGAGAGCGAUUAUAAGAAAUAUGUAAAAAUUUAAAAAAAAAAAAUAAUAAUAAUAAUGCUUAAAUGCUUUUAAAAUGGCAAGAUAAUAGUUCUUUGAUACUUUGGGAGGUUCUUUGGUUAUACAUUAAUUAGAGUCUAUGAAGCUUUCACAUGGUUUUCUGUAUAAUACGUAAGGAUUGCGCUGUUAAAGGCAGGUAAGAUGGAUAUCUAUGAAAAGCAAAAAAGUAAAUAAAUAAAUACAUAAAUAAAUACAUUAAAAGGCAUAGAGAAGAGAAAGGAAAGAUGGUUGAUAUUAAAUGGAAAACAAAAAAAGGUUUGUAAAUGCUUCUAACUCUCCCCAUUUAAAAUCCUAAUAGUUGUACAGAAUUUAAAAAAAGAAAGUUUAAAAUACCUAUAUAAUAGAAAAAAUUAGACAACAUAAAAAGAAAAAAAAAUAAAAAAAGCAAAAAAAAAAACUACAUAGAAGUUAGCGUUACUGCUAAAAACAAAGAUGUUGUAGAACUGUAAUUUUUGUAGAGUUUAGAUUGAGCAUAAAUUCCUACUCUCUGCCAAUUGCUGUUGGAUGCUGUUAUUUAUCGAGGAGAAAGAGGAGAGAAAUGGCUAUUUUGGCAGCUUUUUUAACUGCAAGCAUUCCAGCUAUUAAAAAAAUAAACGAAACGAAACUCAAUUCUGUAGACAAUGCAAAUGGGAAAAAAAAAAAAAAAA